rnacentral:rRNA from 1 species
GUGUCAGCCGCCGCGGUAAUACGGGGGGGGCAAGCGUUGUUCGGAAUUACUGGGCGUAAAGGGUGCGUAGGCGGCUUUCUAAGUUGGAUGUGAAAACUCUGGGCUCAACCCAGAGCCUGCAUCCAAAACUGGAGAGCUAGGGUUCUGGAGGGGAAAGCGGAAUUCCUGGUGUAGCGGUGAAAUGCGUAGAUAUCAGGAGGAACACCGGUGGCGAAGGCGGCUUUCUGGACAGAUACCGACGCUGAGGCACGAAAGCUAGGGGAGCAAACAGGAUUAGAAACCCCCGUAGUCC